UGAUUGGUAAAACUCUCUUAGACCAUAACCACUCCAUUUUUCAUUUGCCUGAGUUUGAAUCCUGUCUGCUACCAUUAUUUUUUCCAGGAAAAACUGUAAGCAGUGUUGUGGCUCAAGAUUCCUAGUCUGGCUAUCUUUGAUUAUAAGAUAUACUGAUGACACUAAGGAGUUGAACCAAAUCCUGAAAAUAGCAGGCUUGAUAAGAACCAGAUGGAUGGGAGACAUAAUUUAGGUGAGUGAAGAAGUGGAGCGUGCUUUGGCGAAAUUGGGGCAUGCUAAAUUGACGGUAAG